GACGUAGGGCGCGAGCGUUGUCCGGAUUUAUUGGGCGUAAAGAGCUCGUAGGCGGCUUGUCGCGUCGACCGUGAAAACUUGGGGCUCAACCCCAAGCCUGCGGUCGAUACGGGCAGGCUCGAGUUCGGUAGGGGAGACUGGAAUUCCUGGUGUAGCGGUGAAAUGCGCAGAUAUCAGGAAGAACACCCGUGGCUAAGGCGGCUCUCUAGUACGGUACUGACGCUGAGACGCGAAAGCGUGGGGAGCGAACAGG
rnacentral:rRNA from 1 species